ensembl:lncRNA
CAAAAUCAACCAAUAAAACAGGGUUUGGAAACUUGAUGACAAAGUGCUUACUUUUGCCCUAUAAGACUGCAGCCAGUAGUUGUGAAAGAAACAAAAAAGUGAGACAGUUGUAAAACUGUCAUCCUUUCAUUCGUUCACAGUUCCACAUUUUGGACUCAAAGAAGUCAGAGAUGCAACCAUGUCUUUUGUUGUGAUGGUGGCACUGCUGUUCUGUUCUGAGACACUGGAUAGGAAACUUUCUAAUUAAACGGUCACAUCCUGUGUUUGGAGAGGAGGAUAAUAUAACUCAUGAUCUUGUGGAGGCUGACUUUGAUAUUAGUGACUGGACUGCAAUUGCAAAUCUGAGCGACAUGUUCAUGGAAACUGGAGACUAUUAUGAUUAUGGUGACUGGCAGUGGAAAGCAGGGUCGUGGGGGCAGCGGCCUAAGCAGAGAAGCCCAGACCUCCCUCUCCCCAGCCACCUCCUCCAGCUUAUCCGGGGAACAUCAAGGCGUUCCCAGGCCAUCAAACAACAUUUGGAUCAUUAGACAUCAUUGAUCUGCAUGUGUGAAAAAGAACUAAAGGACCAGUAAAUUAUUAAACAAUGUAUAAGUGACUAUUCAGUGAAACGUAACUUGUUAUUUUUGGUACAGCUUUAGUGUGUUCAGUAUAUGGUGCUUUAUUACAGACCUUAAAACAUAUACAGUGACAAUUACAUUGUGAAUCAAAUGGUAUCUACAUCCAGUGAGAG